rnacentral:rRNA from 1 species
CCUACGGGAGGCAGCAGUGGGGAAUAUUGCACAAUGGGGGAAACCCUGAUGCAGCAACGCCGCGUGAGUGAAGAAGUAUUUCGGUAUGUAAAGCUCUAUCAGCAGGGAAGAAAAUGACAGUACCUGACUAAGAAGCCCCGGCUAACUACGUGCCAGCAGCCGCGGUAAUACGUAGGGGGCAAGCGUUAUCCGGAUUUACUGGUUGUAACGGGAGCGUAGACGGCUGCGCAAGUCAGAAGUGAAAGCCCGGGGCUCAACCCCGGGACUGCUUUUGAAACUGUGGAGCUAGAGGGCAGGAGAGGUAAGUGGAAUUCCUAGUGUAGCGGUGAAAUGCGUAGAUAUUAGGAGGAACACCGGUGGCGAAGGCGGCUUACUGGACUGUAACUGACGUUGAGGCUCGAAAGCGUGGGGAGCAAACAGGAUUAGAUACCCGUGUAGUC